UUAAUCACCAACUAACUUUAUUUGCUACAGGUUAGCUACAAAUUGGUUACGGUUUUGGCCGUAGCCAAUUGCAGAUUUUCUUGCAUUAACACUUUGAUAAAUAUUAACUUUGUUAUAAAAAAAAUUAAAAAUAAAUCAUCCCAUAGUACUUUUAAUUUAAAAAUAUUUAUUUCACAUCAUACAACUUAUUUUUUCUUCAUCUAUUAUUGUUUUCUUUAUUUUAGAUUUGCUUCUUUCUAUUACGAAAAGCUAAAAGUUAAAUAAAAUAUAUAAUGUAGUUUAAUAAAAAUCUUAAACUUGGACGUUCAUCAAAAUUUUAUACGAAAUAUUUAAUAUUAAUUCUAAUUUUAUAUUUGGCUUUUUAUAAGUCCCAACAUUUAAUAUUAUUUAUUUGAAGUUGACAAAGACUGAAACUUUUCUAUAAAGCGUGCAAAAUAGUUAUAUUUACUAUACAUAUGUAAAGGAGGAAAAUAUGGCUCAAAUUAUUAUGUUUGUUUAUGUUCUUCAGAUCUUUUCUCUAUUUUUUGUUGUAACCAAUGGUGGUCGGCGUGGUCCUCCUCGCAUUCCUUGCGUUGAACACAUUGAUUGUCCAGAGAAGACUUUACCUUUAGUUAUGAGAUGUAUUGACUAUUAUUGUCAAUAUAGAUUGAUAGCCGAGGAUUAAGUUUAAAAGUAAUUAUAUCACUAAUAAACAUAUAAAUUUAUUCUUACGUCAUAAUGUUUGUACUUUAUAUUUUAAUUUAAAUUAUACUCCCUUUGUCCCAAAAUAAAUGUCACAUUUGAAAAAAUAAUUUGUCCCAAAAUAGUUGUCACUUUACAUUACCAAUGCAAUUUUAUAUUUAAUCUUCCAAUUGUACCCUCUAAUAAAUAUUCUUAAUUUAUUGUUUUUUCACUUAA